ACCUGGCUGGCUCAGUUGGUAGAGCAUGUGAUUCUUGAUCUCAGGGUUGUGAGUUCGAGCCCUACGUUGGGUG
rnacentral:tRNA from 1 species